rnacentral:rRNA from 1 species
CCUGAGAAACCCGAAAGAUCGAACGGGGAGAUUCACCGUCAGCGACGUCGGCUUCUCGACGGUUCGUGAUGCGCGCGGCGUCCAUCCGGGCGUCCGCGUCGCACGCGUCCGUUGUGUCUCCAUGCCCGGCGGCGUCGGCGUGCACUUCUCCCCUAGUAGGACGUCGCGACCCGUUGGGUGUCGGUCUACGGCUUGGGCUGUCGACUGUCUCGGACGCUUCGGCGUCGCGUGGCAGACACCCAGUUGCCCGACCGGCUGCCCGGCGGUACUCGCACGGUAUCUGGCCGCAAUCGAACUGCGUCUCAGGCCCGCCGCAAGCGCGGUCAGUGUUCCCGGUGUGUGCGGACCUAGCGCCGUUCCUCCGAGCCUGGCCCGUUGUUAGCCGGCGGUGUCCUCUGACAGGCCGUAUAUCUCUCAUGAUAUGUGAUACCGGUCGGCGACGCUACUGCUUUGGGUACUUUCAGG